rnacentral:lncRNA from 1 species
CACAUCCAGCACCUGAUUAGUGUACACUGUACAUAAUGUGUAGUCUUGUAUCCCUCAGCUCCCUCCCACCCUUCCCCCGCCAGUUCCCAAAGUCCAUUGUAUCAUUCUUAAGCCUUUGUGUUCUCAUAGCUUAGCUCCCACUUACAAGUGAGAACAUACAAUGCUUGGUUUUCCAUUCCGGAGUUAAUUCACUUAGAAUAAUGGUCUCCAACUCCAUCCAGGUUGCUUUGAAUGCCAUUAUUUCCUUUCUUUUUAUGACUGUGUAGUAUUCCAUUAUAUAUAUCUAUAUCUAUAUAUAGAUAUAUAUAGAUAUAUAUA